rnacentral:misc_RNA from 1 species
UUUGGAAGUAAAAGUCGUAACAAGGUCUCCGUUGGUGAACCAGCGGAGGGAUCAUUACCGAGUUUACAACUCCCAAACCCAAUGUGAACGUUACCAAACUGUUGCCUCGGCGGGAUCUCUGCCCCGGGUGCGUCGCAGCCCCGGACCAAGGCGCCCGCCGGAGGACCAACCAAAACUCUUAUUGUAUACCCCCUCGCGGGUUUUUUACUAUCUGAGCCAUCUCGGCGCCCCUCGUGGGCGUUUCGAAAAUGAAUCAAAACUUUCAACAACGGAUCUCUUGGUUCUGGCAUCGAUGAAGAACGCAGCGAAAUGCGAUAAGUAAUGUGAAUUGCAGAAUUCAGUGAAUCAUCGAAUCUUUGAACGCACAUUGCGCCCGCCAGUAUUCUGGCGGGCAUGCCUGUCCGAGCGUCAUUUCAACCCUCGAACCCCUCCGGGGGGUCGGCGUUGGGGAUCGGCCCUUUACGGGGCCGGCCCCGAAAUACAGUGGCGGUCUCGCCGCAGCCUCUCCUGCGCAGUAGUUUGCACACUCGCAUCGGGAGCGCGGCGCGUCCACAGCCGUUAAACACCCCAAACUUCUGAAAUGUUGACCUCGGAUCAGGUAGGAAUACCCGCUGAACUUAAGCAUAUCAAUAAGCGGAA